ACAUUACUGGAGAGUCCCACAAUAGGACGAAAUGGCCGUCCAGUGU
rnacentral:hammerhead_ribozyme from 1 species